rnacentral:lncRNA from 1 species
CGGGAUGGGACAGUUCAGCCCUUUCCGCCACCCCCGCCUUGGCUGCUGGGGCAGGCAAGACGACCGUGACAGCCCCUGCGCUGCCCGAGGGCGCCGCAGCCCCUGCCCUGGGUGACGGCCGGAGCUGGUCUCGGUCCGGGUGCGAGGGGCGGAGCAGCGGCCAUUACUGCGCAGCCUCUUCCGCCUGAGCCCGCUUCGCUGCCUCGGGUGGCAGGCGGGUCCCUCUCCUCCCCUCUGGGCCGUGGUUUUAGGCCUUUACCCGGGGACCUUCUGGCCUCGAGGUGUAGGGGCGGCGAUGGUUUUUCGGCGGUAGCCUGCUCC